GACAGAGGUGCCAAGCGUUAGGCGGAAUCACUGGGCUUAAAGCGUGUGUAGGCGGGUGCCUAAGUACCUUGUGAAAUCCCACGGCUCAACCGUGGAACUGCUCGGUAUACUGGGUGCCUUGAGCCACUUAGGGGCUACCGGAACAAAUGGUGGAGCGGUGAAAUGCGUAGAUAUCAGGAGGAACACCGGUGGCGAAGGCGGUUCUCUGGGCCUGUUCUGACGCUGAGGAGCGAAAGCGUGGGGAGCGAACAGG
rnacentral:rRNA from 1 species